UGCAUCGGCCGGGAAUCGAACUCGGGGCGCCCGCGUGGCAGGCGAGUAUUCUACCACUGAACCAAAAGC
rnacentral:tRNA from 1 species